CUAGAGGAGCCUGUUCUAUAAUCGAUAAACCCCGAUAAACCUCACCAAUCCUUGCUAAUACAGUCUAUAUACCGCCAUCUUCAGCAAACCCUAAAAAGGAACAAAAGUAAGCUCAAUCACAACACAUAAAGACGUUAGGUCAAGGUGUAACCCAUGGAAUGGGAAGAAAUGGGCUACAUUUUCUACCUUAAGAAAAUUAAUACGAAAGCCAUUAUGAAAUUAAUGACCAAAGGAGGAUUUAGUAGUAAACUAAGAAUAGAGUGCUUAGUUGAAUUAGGCCAUGAAGCACGCACACACCGCCCGUCACCCUCCUCAAGUAAAUACAAUGCACUCAAGCCUAUUAACACGCAUCAACUACAUGAGAGGAGAUAAGUCGUAACAAGGUAAGCAUACUGGA
rnacentral:rRNA from 1 species